GCUCUUGAUUGAAGUCCCAGUAAACGGCGGCCGUAACUAUAACGGUCCUAAGGUAGCGAAAUUCCUUGUCGGGUAAGUUCCGACCUGCACGAAUGGCGUAACGAUGGCCACACUGUCUCCUCCCGAGACUCAGCGAAGUUGAAAUGUUUGUGAUGAUGCAAUCUACCCGCGGCUAGACGGAAAGACCCCAUGAACCUUUACUGUAGCUUUGCAUUGGACUUUGAACCAAUCUGUGUAGGAUAGGUGGGAGGCUUUGAAGCGGGGACGCCAGUUCUCGUGGAGCCAUCCUUGAAAUACCACCCUGGUUUGUUUGAGGUUCUAACCUUGGUCCGUUAUCCGGAUCGGGGACAGUGCAUGGUAGGCAGUUUGACUGGGGCGGUCUCCUCCUAAAGUGUAACGGAGGAGUUCGAAGGUACGCUAGGUACGGUCGGACAUCGUGCUAAUAGUGCAAUGGCAUAAGCGUGCUUAACUGCGAGACCGACAAGUCGAGCAGGUACGAAAGUAGGACAUAGUGAUCCGGUGGUUCUGUAUGGAAGGGCCAUCGCUCAACGGAUAAAAGGUACUCUGGGGAUAACAGGCUGAUUCCUCCCAAGAGUUCAUAUCGACGGGGGAGUUUGGCACCUCGAUGUCGGCUCAUCACAUCCUGGGGCUGUAGCCGGUCCCAAGGGUAUGGCUGUUCGCCAUUUAAAGUGGUACGUGAGCUGGGUUUAAAACGUCGUGAGACAGUUUGGUCCCUAUCUGCCGUGGGCGUUGGAAAUUUGAAGGGGGCUGCUCCUAGUACGAGAGGACCGGAGUGGACGAACCUCUGGUGUACCGGUUGUCACGCCAGUGGCAUUGCCGGGUAGCUAAGUUCGGAAGAGAUAACCGCUGAAAGCAUCUAAGCGGGAAACUUGCCUUGAGAUGAGAUUUCCCGGAGCCUUGAGCUCCUUGAAGGGUCGUUCGAGACCAGGACGUUGAUAGGCUGGGUGUGGAAGUGCAGUAAUGCAUUAAGCUAACCAGUACUAAUUGCCCGUACGGCUUGUCCCU
rnacentral:rRNA from 1 species